UACGUAGGGGGCAAGCGUUGUUCGGAAUUACUGGGCGUAAAGGGCGUGUAGGCGGUGCGGUAAGUCGGGCGUGAAAUCCCCGAGCUUAACUCGGGGCGGUCGUUCGAAACUGCCGUGCUAGAGUGCGGGAGAGGGAAGUGGAAUUCCUGGUGUAGCGGUGAAAUGCGCAGAUAUCAGGAGGAACACCGGUGGCGAAGGCGGAUCUCUGGGCCGUAACUGACGCUGAGGAGCGAAAGCAUGGGGAGCGAACAGG
rnacentral:rRNA from 1 species